rnacentral:rRNA from 1 species
GAUGAACGCUAGCGGGAGGCUUAAUACAUGCAAGUCGCAGGGUAGAUGAGUACUUGUAUUCAUUGAGACUGGCGCACGGGUGAGUAACGCGUACAUAACCUGCCCUGAAGAGGGGGAUAGCCCUGGGAAACUGGGAGUAAUCCGCCAUAGUCCAUUAAGGCCACAUGGUUUAAAUGGUAAAGGAGUGAUCUGCUUCAGGAUGGAUGUGCGUAUGAUUAGCUAGUUGGUAGGGUAACGGCUUACCAAGGCGAUGAUCAUUAGGGGGCGUGAGAGCGUGGACCCCCACACGGGUACUGAGACACGGACCCGACUCCUACGGGAGGCAGCAGUAAGGAAUAUUGGACAAUGGGCGCAAGCCUGAUCCAGCCAUCCCGCGUGCAGGAUGAAGGCGCUCCGCGUCGUAAACUGCUUUUGCGUAGGAAGAACAGACGGGAUUUAUCCUGUUUUGACGGUACUACGAGAAUAAGCACCGGCUAACUCUG